GUGGGGAAUAUUGGACAAUGGGCGAAAGCCUGAUCCAGCCAUGCCGCGUGUGUGAAGAAGGUCUUCGGAUUGUAAAGCACUUUAAGUUGGGAGGAAGGGCAGUAAGUUAAUACCUUGCUGUUUUGACGUUACCGACAGAAUAAGCACCGGCUAACUUCGUGCCAGCAGCCGCGGUAAUACGAAGGGUGCAAGCGUUAAUCGGAAUUACUGGGCGUAAAGCGCGCGUAGGUGGUUUUGUAAGUUGGAGGUGAAAUCCCCGGGCUCAACCUGGGAACUGCCUCCAAAACUGCAUGACUAGAGUACGGUAGAGGGUAGUGGAAUUUCCUGUGUAGCGGUGAAAUGCGUAGAUAUAGGAAGGAACACCAGUGGCGAAGGCGACUACCUGGACUGAUACUGACACUGUGGUGCGAAAGCGUGGGGAGCAAACAGGAUUAGAUACCCUGGUAGUCC
rnacentral:rRNA from 1 species